rnacentral:rRNA from 1 species
ACAGGUCUUCGGACGCUGACGAGUGGCGAACGGGUGAGUAAUACAUCGGAACGUGCCCAGUCGUGGGGGAUAACUACUCGAAAGAGUAGCUAAUACCGCAUACGAUCUGAGGAUGAAAGCGGGGGACCUUCGGGCCUCGCGCGAUUGGAGCGGCCGAUGGCAGAUUAGGUAGUUGGUGGGAUAAAAGCUUACCAAGCCGACGAUCUGUAGCUGGUCUGAGAGGACGACCAGCCACACUGGGACUGAGACACGGCCCAGACUCCUACGGGAGGCAGCAGUGGGGAAUUUUGGACAAUGGGCGAAAGCCUGAUCCAGCAAUGCCGCGUGCAGGAUGAAGGCCUUCGGGUUGUAAACUGCUUUUGUACGGAACGAAAAAGCUUCUCCUAAUACGAGAGGCCCAUGACGGUACCGUAAGAAUAAGCACCGGCUAACUACGUGCCAGCAGCCGCGGUAAU